GCUAAACCCCUCGGCCAUCAGAAGUUAUCCAGUCUCUCUUUUCACGGUUUCUUCAGUCUCCAACCCUUCACGCCACGCUUAGUAUCCAAUUCCUGUAAGAUCCCCUAUAUCCUACUACUUGUUUUUCCCGUGACAGCAUUGAAUUUACCGUUCUUUCUUUCUUUCCCCAAUAAAUGUGCAAAUAACCGUUCAUAUAUGCUUCUCCAAUCCUGUGGACGAUCAUCCUGAUAAUUGUUCGACCUGCCAUCGAUAAAACUCUGAUAAGAAGACUUGGGUUUUAAGGAAAAUGGAGAU
rnacentral:lncRNA from 1 species